CAUGAAUCUUAACAAUUUGUCCGGCCCUAUCCCGCCUUCCUUUUUAAACUUGUCUUCCUUGGUAUACAGUUGGUUAGAUAGUAACAAACUUAGCGGGACGUUGCCUUUGGAAAUUGGGAACAUGAAAGCCCUACAGUCUUUGUCCAUUGCCAACAAUUCUUUCAUUGGUUCAAUACCACCAACUUUCGGAAAUCUAUCAAAUUGAAGGGCUUAGAUCUCUCCGAAAACAAUUUAAAUGGUCCAAUACCAUCUACUAUUGGAAAUCUAGCCAAAUUAUAUUAUCUAGUCCUCGGUUCCAACAAAUUAACUGGUCCAAUACCAUCCAUCUUUGGAAAUCUACCAAUUUUGGAUUAUUUAGGCCUCUCUGAUAACAAACUUAAUGGUCCAAUACCAUCCAGCCUAGGAUAUGAUUCAAAACUAUUAAGUUUAUUGCUCUCUUCCAAUAGAUUAAAUGGCGAGCUUCCCUCCACCAUCUGCAACCUUACAUCCCUCGAAAAUCUUAUUCUUUCACACAACAUUUUGGCAGGAACAAUUCCAUGGUGCCUUAGAAACAUGAGUCAAUCUUUGUUCAUGUUUCAUUUAAACGCGAAUCGCUUCGGUGGUCUUAUUCCGUCAACAUUUAGCAAUGGUUGCAGUCUCGUCUCCAUCAAUAUGAGCGGUAAUAAAUUGCGAGGGGAGUAAAAUGAAUCCUUAAUCAACUGCCAAAAUCUAAAGGGCAUCGACGUUGGAAAUAAUAGAAUACAUGGCAAUUUUCCGUACUGGAUGGAAGCCCUUCCUCAACUUCGGGUGCUAAUCUUGAGGUCUAACAAGUUUGAUGGUAACAUGUCACUGCCUUCGCGAACCAAGCUCCCCUUUCCCGAAUUGCUAGUUUUAGAUGUGUCGCACAAUGCAUUUGUUGGCGCUUUACCUGAAAGGUAUAUCAUGAAUUUCAAAGCAAUGGUACAUAUGAGCAAGGUAAAUGUGACGGAAAUAGCAUAUAAUAUCUAUCAAGCUUUUGUGGAGAUGACAAUCACUUUGAAAGGUCGUGAUCAGUUAUUAGAGAGACUAGUGGAUUCCUUUACGAUAAUUGACUUGUCCUCGAAUAGAUUUUCAGGGUUUAUUCCGCGUUCAAUAGGAAAUCUUACGUCUCUCGAGUACUUGAACUUGUCACAUAAUAACCUCACGGGAAAUAUACCUUCAUCUCUUGCAAACAUGAGUGCUAUUGAAUCGUUGGACUUGUCUUCAAAUUAUUUGGAUGGAGUGAUUCCGAAUGAGAUGACAAGGUUGACAUUUCUUUCGAAAUUAAAACCUUUCAAUGAAUGAUCUGGUGGGACAGAUACCACAAUCUAACCAGUUUUCUACGUUUGAAAAUGAUUCGUUUGUGGGAAAUUUGGGGUUAUGUGGAGUUCCGUUGAUAAGAAAAUGCAACGGCGAGAGUGGGCCAAAAGAAGAACUCGAAGACGAAGAGAAGAUGGAUAUUUUAUAGAUGGAUUUGGGUGGAAAAGUGUAGUGAUGGGGUAUGGAUGUAGACUCAUAGGAAUUGGUAUUGGUUGUUGUGUUCUUCGAUAUGGAAAGCCAAGAUGGUUGGUUGAGUUCUUUUUUGGCGCUGGAUAUAAUAUGAAGAAAAAGAGGCACAAUAGAGAAACACCAAAACAAAGUAGAAGUUGAUUUUAAAAAAAAAAAAAUUGUGUGAUUUUUUUUUCUUCUAUUUAUAAUUAUUUCUACUUUCUUGUUUGAUUUCGCAUAUUAAUACAUUAUGACUGUAUUUGCAGCCUUGAA